UUACUUUUUCCAGUGAAAGCUUCAUCUGUUGAUAUUUACUGUGAACGUUUUGUGUAUAUUUAAAUAUAUUCAGCUAUGUUAAAAGACAUGUGUAAUGUCAAAUCAUAAAAAUACUAAGUGUUUAUUCUUAAAGAAAACUUGUAAGAUUUCCACAGCUGUUUUUGUUGAAUAUGUGCAAUUUGUGUACUCAGUGCAAUUUGGGUACUGUUACGUUAUAUCUGUUCUCUACAGAGCUAAGUAUUUAGUGACAAUCUAUUUUCGUAUUGGAUAAUGUAUCUGGUCUAAAAAAAAUAGUUUGCCACAAGUAUUUAGUGACAAUUAUCUAUUCCUGUAUGAGAUGAUGUAUCUGGUGUGAUUUUUUUAUUAUUUUACCACUGAAUGAAUCACCAAUCAAACUAUAUAAAUAGAUUGAAGUUAAAAAAAAAUAUCUGGAAAAUUAACUGAAUCCUUAGACAGAAUGAAUAAUAUAAUUAUAACUUUUUUGUUAUGCCCAACUGCUAGUUGAAGGGGCAUUAACUUUUACUGUUGUCAUGAUGUCCAUCCAUACAUAUGUCUGUCUGUACAGAAAUUGGUUUCCAUUUUCUUACUUUAUUUGCACUCAAUUAUUUUUUUCACAGAACACAGAUCAAUUUAUUCGAAUUUGAGUGGCAUCACUUUGACCGUUCGUGAGUUAUGCCCCUUUAUUAACGCAAAAAUUGCUGAAUCUUUCUUUUCUAGUCUCUAACUUAAGUUUGUCCUAACAAAUGUUAUAAAACUUAUACACUACUUAUUACCACAAAACACAGAUCAAGUUUGAAUUUGACUCCCGUCACUGUAACCGUUCUUGAGUUACAUGUAUUUAUGCUCCUUUAUUAUUAAAUGGAAAAAAUUGCCAAAUCUGUGGUGGAUCCGACAAACUGUUGUAUACCGAUUUUAUUUAUUUAGAUAUGAUUUACAAACUUCAGAAAAGGUUGAGAAGCAUUUUAAUUCUAGGGAAUUCCAACCUGAAGCAAGUUGUACCAAUGGAAUUGAUGGAAGCCCCCAUUAGAACACUGUGCAUAACUGGGGUUGCAACUUCACCAUCUCAUACAGCAUCUAGUUCAUCAAAGAUGACCUAUGCUGAAGUGGUGAGACUUCCUGUGCAUGCAACAGGUCAGACCAAACUAAAACCACGUUUGAUAUUAAGUGUAUGGAAAUGAAGAAAUCAAUUGGAGUCCCUACAUUCAAAAGGAGGAGUGUGUCUUCAGUUGAGAUUGGUAGAAAAAAAGAAAAAACAAUACAGGGUAAAGACAAGUGAUCUAGUAUUUGGGGUCACAGAGGAUGUGGCUGUAGUCCUACCAAACAAAGCUUUACUGGAACAUAGUUUUUAUCAGACUCACAUAAAAAAGCAACUGCUUGAACCCAUAUCAAUGCAGCCUACGAAGAAAAUGUGUGUGAUGAAGAAAGAAGAAAAGAGCACCUUUAAUUGUCCUGUUUGUCCAGUGAUGUGCUUAAAAGAAGACUUUUUGAUAGAUCAUGUUAUUUUGGCCAUACUAAAAAAAUAAAAAAAGGCAGAAUUCAGACAGACAGAGAUUCGUCAUUUCAGAUACCAAAUAAAGAAAAUGCUGUUGAGGAACAGGGGAGUUUCUGUGAUGAGAAUGAUACACAAAGAGCAUUUGAGUGUAAUGAAGUUGAGAGUAGUAUUUUAACCAAAAGAACAUCUGCCUUAACAACAGUGAAGGUUUUAGCGAGCAGGUGCUAUUUGGUGAUGUUGAAAGAAAUCCAGGACCUACAAUGGUUUAUCAAGACUAAUCUUAGUGCUUGCCAUACAAGUGUCAAAGAGUGAAGGGCAAGAACAAUUUUAAAGAACAGAGAAGACUUGUUUUAUUGCACUUAGUUUUGAGUUUUUGUUUUAUAUUUUACCACUAUGAUAGAGUAAUGUAACAUUCAGGAAAUGUAUUGUUCUGAUA